GCAUUAGGGAAUCUUCGGCAAUGGACGAAAGUCUGACCGAGCAACGCCGCGUGAGUGAAGAAGGUUUUCGGAUCGUAAAACUCUGUUGGUAGAGAAGAACGUUGGUGAGAGUGGAAAGCUCAUCAAGUGACGGUAACUACCCAGAAAGGGACGGCUAACUACGUGCCAGCAGCCGCGGUAAUACGUAGGUCCCGAGCGUUGUCCGGAUUUAUUGGGGCGUAAAGCGAGCGCAGGUGGUUUAUUAAGUCUGGUGUAAAAAGGCAUUGGCUCAACCAUUGUAUGCAUUGGAAACUGGUAGACUUGAGUGCAGGAA
rnacentral:rRNA from 1 species